AUAUAGUUUAAAAAAAACUCUACAUUUUUAUUGUAGAAUUAAAUCCUUCUUUUGUAG
rnacentral:tRNA from 1 species